rnacentral:sRNA from 1 species
AAUGCAUCAUACCACAACCAUAAUUAUGAAACCUAAAUCGAAACAUUUAGGCAAAACUCUAGUCGAAGCAUGCAAAACACACACUCUAGUCGAAGAAUUUAGGCAAAACUCACACGCCAGUUUUAGGGUUUAGUCGAAAUGUCGAAUCACUUAGACAAAACUCAUAAAUUAGUCAAAGCACUUAUGCAUCAAAUUCAAAUUGUCGAACGCGCAACACUUAUGCAAACUCACAAAAAUGGACUCACAUGUUAGUCGAAGCACUUAUGCAACACUUUAUUCUAAACUAGAGCCGUCCCUAUGAUUUACAAGGCUAUAAGAAAAGAACAAAAGUAGGUCACUUUAUACAUGUUUAUUGUAAAAAAGAAUUACUUUACACGUAUUCAUAAUAAUAGAAAUAAGGUAGAGUGACAAUUCUUUCUAAUGUUCAUUUGAAAUAAAGUUCAAGUUAUUUCUAAUGGAAAUUUAAACUUAAAAAAUAAAAAUAAAAUAAAGUAGAGUGAACCUAACAUUUUGGAAGAUUUGAAUUUGAGAUGUAUGAGAACUAACUCAUCUCCGACCCGACCACUUAACCACAAAACAAUUUCAAAAUUAUGAAGCAGCAAAACAUAAUUAUAUGAUAAUCGGCCGCAAGCAUGGGCUUGACCCGCUUGUGCUCACGGCCGGCUCUGGUCUAAACACUUACGUCACGUUUGAACAAACACAUAGUUGAGACUCUUAUGCAAACUCACAUGUUAGAAACACUUAUACAAGACACUUUAUGCAAACUCAUAAACCCUACGGUUUAGAGUUUAGGGUUUAGGGAUUUAGGGUAUAGGGUAUAGGGUAUAGGGUAUAUGGUAUAGGGAUUUAGGGUAUGGUAUAGGUAUAUGGUUUAGGAUUUAGGGUUUUUAGAUC